rnacentral:rRNA from 1 species
UACCGGUUCCCGUACGAUCACCGAAGUUAAGCAACGUCGAGCCUGGUCAGUACCUAGAUGGGUGACCGUUUGGAAAUACCGGAUGCUGCAAG